UACGUAGGGUCCGAGCGUUGUCCGGAAUUAUUGGGCGUAAAGGGCUCGUAGGCGGUUGUCGCGUCGGGAGUGAAAACACGGGGCUUAAACCCCGGUGCCUGCUUCCGAUACGGGCAGACUAGAGGUGAUGCAGGGGAGAACGGAAUUCCUGGUGUAGCGGUGAAAUGCGCAGAUAUCAGGAGGAACACCGGUGGCGAAGGCGGUUCUCUGGGCAUUACCUGACGCUGAGGAGCGAAAGUGUCGGGGAGCGAACAGG
rnacentral:rRNA from 1 species